AGCUGCAAUCAUUCGCACUAUGAUGAACUUCAUCUUGACAACAGCUUUAAUUAUCUGCAGCAUCAGCUGGAUCUCUGUCUCAGUUUCUGAGUCUCAGACUGUGAAGGUCCAGCCUGGUCAAGAAGUCACACUGUCGACUACCAACAUUUCCAGAAAUCAAGCCAUGACAACCUGGUUCAGAGUGGUCAACAGAACCAAGGCCAGCUGUAUCUCCGUUAUGGCCGCCUCUGGCAGCAAUCCUAAAUACUGUGAUGGAUUUAAAAAUGGAAUAUUUGAAAUGAGCUCCAACACCUCCACUGUCUUUCUCAAAAUUAAGACAGUGAAUCUUUCUGAUUCUGGGCUGUAUUUGUGUGGAUUUUUCAUAGAGGGACAGACAAUUUUAAGUGUGAUACAUUUAAAUGUUUAAGGUAAGAUUAUGAAAUCCUGUGAUAUCUGUUCUUCUGUGUUAUUUUUUUAUUUUGUAAAAUUAAUAACUGACCUAAAACACAUAUAUGGCUACUUAAUUAAUGUCAAAACAAACAUAAUAAAACCAUUUAAAAGUAAAAUCUAGAUUAAAUAUAUCUUCAUUUUGUUAAAAGGCAGUGAUGAAUCUCAUGAUGACGUUGACAGAAAGUCUACAACAGAGAGUGAUAGAAUAGCAAACCUGAUGAGUGUGAUCCUGGGCGGCCUGACUGUUUUCCUCAUAAUGGUCAUCAUCUGUCUGGUUGUUAAAAACAGGAAACUUCAAAAAGCUGCCAACAAAGAACAGAAUCCACAACAGCAUGAGAAUCUGGACUCUGAUGACCUGAAAGCACUGAGUUUGUAUUCAACAACAAUAAGAAACAGGAGGCCUGCAUCAGAGAGAGAAGUGGAAACUCAUGUUGUUUAUGCUGCCAGCAGAUAGAAUAAUGCUAUUAAUCAUAUUCAUCAAUUGCUGUUAUGUUAUGUGUGUGUGUGGGGGGGGGGGGGGGGACCAUCUUCUUAAAUGUACAAAUAAUCAAAUUAAUCAACGUGAUCCUUUAGUCUCAUGAAUCUCUCACUCUCUGUCUUUCUAACUCUAGAGAGACUGUCCACAAAGACAAUAGAUAGAUGGAGGUCUGCAGAUGGAGGAGUGAGAGAGGCACGCAUCAUUUGUUUAACAGGAAGAGACAGCAGAGUGGUCUGAGCACAGCUGAGCUGAAAAUCAUGAGGUCACACAUCUGAAUCUGAAUCAAGUCGGACAUGAAGCAGUGAAUACUGGCUGACUUUCCUCUGUCAAGUAGAUGUAGUGGGGAAAGAUUCCCCAGGUGCAGGUUAAGGUGUGGUGGUGUUGAAUGCAGCCUUGACUUAACUCCUCCCCUGGCCAACCUCCUUAUUAGGCUUAGGCUAUAUAAGACACCUGUGUUCCCUUUCUCUCUCUCUGCUUCUUGAUCUGUCCCUGUUGUGGUUGUGGCCCAGCUAUGUGAAAGGAAUAGUUUCAUGCAUGUUUGUUUUCCCUUAACAGUUUAUGUUGCUUACCUGCACUUUGACCUGUUAGGAACCUCCUUUUCUCCUG